CUCAUUGAAUAGUUCAAAUAUUCACUUUCCCUCUAUUAUAUUUUCCAUUUGACAAAUUCUUUGUAUUCCAUCUACUGCAUCUUCUUUUCUAGGUUUCACAUGUCAUUUCUUCUUCAGUUUCAUUUAUGGCAAAAACGAGUGGAGGUGGCGACGUAUAAUUCCGACCGGGGAUACGCGAUUCCGGCGAGGGGCGUCGUGGUCUGCAAUGAUGUUGCUUUGAGACUCGUGGCAUCAAAGGGUGGUGGAAGAAAGAAAAUCGCAGCCAGAGGUGGCGGUCACGUUUGAAAAUUUCUUUUAUUGACGAACUCAGGUUUUUCGCUUCAAAUCUGCUUGUGGGAUGUGAUUUUGAGGAGGACAAUUGAUCUAGGGAGGACCUUUAGGUUGAAAUUCACACAAGAUUAUAGAAUACUUCAAGGAAAUUCAAGAUGUCCUAAAAAUCAAGGCCAUGUAUAAUCCUCCAUAGCAGCCGAAGUCCGGCUUGGAAUGAACUUUGUUGAAUAUUACAAGUCAUCAUUUUUGUUUCAGCUAUUGCUUCGGUGACUGAAGCAACUUUGGAUGAUUAUGAAGAGGGGUUGAGAACUAACAGUGAAGCGCCUAAGACACUGAGGUUUUACUGUAUAUUACUUCAAUGAUUCCGGUGGGGAUGCAUUGAGCGCUAAGUUGUAUCCACUUGGUAGGUUGGUGGCUCUUAGAUGCGAAAAAAAUCUUGGAGAAGGAAUUGGUGAGGUCCAGGUAUGUAAAAUCUCUUUAUUCUGCAAAUUGUUGGCGAGAACUGAUAAUAUUUUACAUUUGGUUUAAUAUUUUUCUAUAUUGAUUUCAGAAAAAAAAAUUGUACAUAAUUUUAUUUAAAGUUUGUCCAUAAUAAUUUUCAUUUCAAAAUGUAAUUGUUUAUUUCAAGAGUUUAAUUGAAAUACACUGAUAGUGUAAAAAGAUUUUACACCGUCAGUUAAUCAUAGACGUCAGAUAUUAAAAGAAGUUUGACUUUUAUUUUAAAAAUCUAUAAAGUAAUACAAACGGAUGAUGGUGAUGAAUCAACGGUGUAAAACUUUUUACACUGACAAUGUAUAGUAAUUAAUCUCUUACGUCAAUCUAAUAUAAUCAUUUCAAAAUAUAUUUAUUUAUGCUACUAAUAUUUUUUUUAUAAUUAAAAUAAUAUUUACAAAUAUUAUGUUAUUAGUUGAUAUUUAUAAAAUUAAAUGAUUGCAUAAAUAUUUUUAAUAAAUAAUAUCAAAAUAAAUUUAAUAUUUACAUAUGGGAAAAUAUACGGUUGAUCCAAAUAUUUGCGUAUAUGGAAAAACUAUAUUUAUGUUCCAAAUAUAAAUAAAAAUAUUUGCAUAUAUGUCUUGUCUGAAGAAGAAAGGAAUUUGAAAGGUGAUGGAACAGGUGAAGAAGGUGCUAAUGAAGAAGGUACUGAUGUAAGUGACGAUGAAGAAAAUACCAACAAUUAUGAUGACUGAAGUACUCUCGAUCUGGAUCUUUUGUGUUUUGUUUGUUCUUCUAGUUCUUUUUGUGGGCUUUACCCUGAAUAUUUAUGUACUUUAUAGUGCUUUUGUCUGUAACCUAACUUUUGACUACUCUGCUAAUGUUUGUUUAAGUUUGUCAACUUUUUGGCUAAAAAGGGGAGUAGUUGUGUUUGA